rnacentral:lncRNA from 1 species
CCCGGGGACCACAGAUUGGAAGCAGGCAGUCACUGGUCGUGGACAGGAAGACUCUCUCCGGCCAUCUCAGCUGUGGUCCUCUAACCUGUGCCUGUGAGCCACCAAGAGUGAACGGAAACUAGAAGCAUUGCCACCAACAACUGGAGCAGUGACCACACUGAAGUUUCUCUGUCGAGGGGGAAGGGGAGUAAGGAGAAAAAAAAAAAAAAAAGGCAAGUAAGCAAGCAAGCCAGCAAGCACAGGAGCACACUCUCGUGGAGGCCCACACCCUCCCUGUGCCUACCCAAGAUGUGUCAGUCAGAGAAGCAUCCAGGACCGGAGCUCCAAGCAGCAGCAAAAUGGUUGUACUUUCCCCAGCUGGCCCUAUGGCGGAGGCUAGGCCAGCUGAGCUGCAUGUCCAGACCUGCUCUGAAUCUGCGCUCCUGGCUGCUGACCAUCCUCCACUACCUCCUGCCCUUCCGUGUGCUCGGGCCCCACAGCCAGGUGGGAUGGAGGCCCCUGAGCAGGGUGUUCCUGUAUAAAACUGUGCCAACGAGUUUGCUGUCAUGUGCCUGUGGUCGCCUCAACAAAGUAGAACUUCCUUACUGGCUCUGGAGGCCAGUCUACAGCCUGUAUAUCUGGACCUUUGGGGUGAACAUGACUGAGGCUGCAGUGGAGGACCUGCACCACUACCGCAACCUCAGCGAGUUUUUCCGGCACCAGCCCAUCAGAUGGCAAGAUCCUCACCUUUGGGCAGGUGAAGAACUCUGAGGUGGAGCAGGUAAAGGGCGAAACCUACUCCUUGGAGUCCUUCCUGGGCCCUCGAACCAGUACAGAAGACCUGCCCUUCCCUCCAGCUUCUUCCAGUGACUCCUUCAGAAACCAGCUGGUCCCCCAAGAAGGGAAUGCGCUCUACCACUGUGUCGUCUACCUGGCCCCAGGAGACUACCACUGCUUCCACUCCCCCACUGACUGGACCGUCUCACAUCGGCGCCACUUCCCAGGUUCCCUGAUGUCAGUGAACCCUGGCAUGGCCCGAUGGAUCAAAGAGCUCUUUUGUCACAAUGAGCAUGUAGUCCUAACUGGAGACUGGAAAAAUGGGUUCUUCUCGUUGACAGCAGUGGGAGCCACCAAUGUGGGCUCUAUCCAUAUCCACUUUAACUGAGACUUGCACACAAACAGCCCCAGGUACAGCAAGGCACCCAAGGACUUCAACUUGAGGCUGAAGGCAGAACAGAAGAUCUGCUUUGCAGGAGCACUGGGCUCCCUCUAGUCCUCUCGGUUGUGGCUGCCAAAGGAUCUUUCCACACAGGAGCAUGAGGGUCUUUAGCGGAGCCCCAGGAUGUCUAGGUGAGGGGCACUGUGGGGCUGACCUUAUAAGACCUGAAUGAUGUGUUCCUGCCUGUCCAUGGGUGCAGAGGAGAGGUUCUGGGUCUCUCAGGACCUAGGCCCCUUUUCUGAGUAUGGGUGGGUGUGAUUUGACCCCAAAGUCACUUUAAGGGGUGUUUUAAAUUUUUGUACAAGCCAGAGCCUCCCACCCCUAACUCCUGGCUGUGUACUACCACACCCUCUAGCUGCGCCCCGACCCGUCACAGGGCUCUCUCACUGUGCACAGGGUGACGUGCCUGCUGGGCAGAGACUGUGGAUCCACUGUCUUCCUAGAGCAGGCCACAUGGCCUUCAUAACUGCUUUCUGCUCCCAAAUUUCACCUAUCUGCAUGCUGGAAAAGUAAAAUCAUUUAUAUAUUGCUGGAUGUGUUGUCCUGGGCUCUGUCAGUGUCUUCUGAAGACAAUGACUAAUGAUGUAUGUAGACCUUUGUAGGCUCUAAGAAGCUGGCUGAAUCCUUUUGCUGGUAGGCAAGACCAAUUAAUUACUGGCUUGUCUGGUAGAGUCUGGAGUGAAAGGGCAGGUUGAGGCCUUGCCCUGCAGAAGUAGGGGACAUGCUGCUAUUGGUCUAGGUCUGUGUUGGAAGCAGAGGGUAUGGAGGUCAGUACCUAGAAAACAGGUAUGCAGGCCAUGGGGAACCCAGUGGUAGGGACAAGACCAGAGUUCAUGUCGAUCUUGGGAAUGCCAUGAAUUUCCCCUGCAGAAGAAAUCACUUAACUUUUCAACCCUAUCAGUAGUACCGUAUUUUGUAUGAAAAGUAGGAGACUUCUGAACAGUAAUUCAUUUCAUUGCAAGACAUUUU